GAUGAACGCUGGCGGCGUGCCUAAUACAUGCAAGUCGAGCGAACGGACGAGAAGCUUGCUUCUCUGAUGUUAGCGGCGGACGGGUGAGUAACACGUGGAUAACCUACCUAUAAGACUGGGAUAACUUCGGGAAACCGGAGCUAAUACCGGAUAAUAUUUUGAACCGCAUGGUUCAAAGGUGAAAGACGGUCUUGCUGUCACUUAUAGAUGGAUCCGCGCUGCAUUAGCUAGUUGGUAAGGUAACGGCUUACCAAGGCAACGAUGCAUAGCCGACCUGAGAGGGUGAUCGGCCACACUGGAACUGAGACACGGUCCAGACUCCUACGGGAGGCAGCAGUAGGGAAUCUUCCGCAAUGGGCGAAAGCCUGACGGAGCAACGCCGCGUGAGUGAUGAAGGUCUUCGGAUCGUAAAACUCUGUUAUUAGGGAAGAACAUAUGUGUGAGUAACUGUGCACAUCUUGACGGUACCUAAUCAGAAAGCCACGGCUAACUACGUG
rnacentral:rRNA from 1 species